CGAGGACUUAUCAGAGAUGCAUUGGUGCCUUCGGGAACUCUGAGACAGGUGCUGCAUGGCUGUCGUCAGCUCGUGUUGUGAAAUGUUGGGUUAAGUCCCGCAACGAGCGCAACCCUUAUCCUUUGUUGCCAGCGGUCCGGCCGGGAACUCAAAGGAGACUGCCAGUGAUAAACUGGAGGAAGGUGGGGAUGACGUCAAGUCAUCAUGGCCCUUACGAGUAGGGCUACACACGUGCUACAAUGGCGCAUACAAAGAGAAGCGACCUCGCGAGAGCAAGCGGACCUCAUAAAGUGCGUCGUAGUCCGGAUUGGAGUCUGCAACUCGACUCCAUGAAGUCGGAAUCGCUAGUAAUCGUGGAUCAGAAUGCCACGGUGAAUACGUUCCCGGGUCUUGUUACACACCGA
rnacentral:rRNA from 1 species